CCUACGGGAGGCAGCAGUUAGGAAUAUUGGACAAUGGGCGAAAGCCUGAUCCAGCCAUGCCGCGUGUGUGAUGAAGGCCCUAGGGUUGUAAAGCACUUUCGUUGGGGAUGAUAAUGACCGUACCCAAAGAAGAAGCACCGGCUAACUUCGUGCCAGCAGCCGCGGUAAUACGAAGGGUGCAAGCGUUGUUCGGAAUCACUGGGCGUAAAGAAUGCGUAGGCGGCUUAACAAGUCGGGAGUGAAAUCCCAGGGCUCAACCCUGGAACUGCUCUCGAAACUGUUUUGCUAGAGUCCCGGAGGGGUUAGCGGAAUUCCGAGUGUAGAGGUGAAAUUCGCAGAUAUUCGGAGGAACACCAGUGGCGAAGGCGGCUAACUGGACGGGAACUGACGCUGAGGCAUGAAAGUGUGGGGAUCAAACAGGAUUAGAUACCCUGGUAGUCCACACCGUAAACGAUGUGUGCUAGUUGUCGGGCAGCUUUGCUGUUCGGUGACGGAGCUAACGUUUUAAGCACACCGCCUGGGAAGUACGGCCGCAGGUUAAAACUCAAAGGAAUUGACGG
rnacentral:rRNA from 1 species